UCUGCUUACAGUUAUUAUACUAAAUUAAUACUAGAAUAUUAACCUUCGUUAUAUCGUUCGAAUCCAUCAUCUUCUGGAUCAUCCCGCUGUUUAGGAAAAAAUGAUAUUCAUAAAAUCAUAAUAUUAUUUUACAUCUUGUCUGUUCAAAAAAUUUUACCUUCAGGCACGCAAUUCUCGUAGGGUCUUUUUCUUUUGAAAUCUUAUAAGGUAGGUUGAUAUAGUUGCUUAUCCUCCUAUUAUUCAAAAAUAUGAAAAUAUUACAAGCAUUUACCUUGCGUACACAUACACGAAUGAAAUCAUUAACAAAAUGUAAU
rnacentral:lncRNA from 1 species